GGCUACAGAGGGAGGGAAAACAGGUUACCAAAAUAGUUAGAACCAUGCAAGUCCCGUGGGCUACUCUAUGGGUUUUGCUUUUCCAGCAAUUGGCGGGAGGCAGGGGGAGUCUCUGUCACCCACAUGGAUGUUGAAACAUUCAAAAUAUACCUCUAGAACAGGUCACCUCCUACUUGAACAGGCAGGAUCUAGCUGUGUUGUAAUGGCAUGAAGAAUAUCAAGGUGGCAAACAUCUGCUUCACAUUUAAGAGCUAAGAUUUUAGCUCCUUGGAUCCUCUGCUGAUGCCAGCUGAGAUGAGGGUGCUUGCUAAAAACCUGGGUCUCUUUCACCCCUCAUUUCACACAGUGUCAGAGAUUUGGGGUCUUUAGAGACCUGGCCCUUCUCAUACCAAUCGGCCAAGGAAAAAUGCUCUUAACCUUGUGCCUUGGGCUCUUAUACUACUCUUUUAAAAACAACUUAAAAAAAAGUUAGUAAGAAUAAAAAGUUCCCAUUCCAUAGUUGGAUUAAUGGGCUGUGGUUUGUAGGAGUCUGUGUCCUUGGGAGAGUGUUUUCAGUGGGGGAGGGAAGGUUUAAAAUCAACCCGUUUUCCAAAAAUAGUUGUGAUUGAAAGUGUUAUUAUCCAUAACAAAUGUUAGUGCUGAUGGGAGAGAGGCAUGUGUGAUUCUUUUGUCUAACAGACAAGUGAAAGUCAUAUUUCACAUUAUCACGGGGUUUUCUGUGAUUUACAGAAUAUUUGUGAAACAUUACUUGCAGGGGCCAUGAUUGAUAUGGAGAGAACAGCUUGUGUGUAGGGGAGAUGUGUAUUUCACGAAGACUGUUCAACAUGAAAUUUACAGUCCCAUAAAGUGCUUCUACAUCUUCGCCAGAGAUCUAGUUAAAAGGACUUUACAGUCUGAAACAUCCUAAAAUUGAUUCUAAAUUAACGUUUCCUCACAUGUAUUUGAGAUAUUGAUGGGGCCCAGCUAUCAGAAUUUUAUUAGGAAGCAAUAAUCUGAGGCACACUGAGACAGACAUACAUACACACCAACCUCCACUACUCCCCAGAGGACACUGGAUAUGCGCUCUCAGGAAGGGCGUCCACGUAGCCUCAGGGAUGGAGACAACCACGAAAUCCUGUCAGCCUUAACAGCCAGGAAAGGAAAACCAACAAAUGGCAGCUUUAAAGGUCACAGUGAUUCAGCUGUCCAUCAGUGAGUAUGUGGGGCAGGCCCAUCAAGCAGCACUGUGUGAGGCGCUGCGGGACAUGCGGGGUGGAAUACAGCACUGCCAGGGCCCUUGAGGAGCCCCAGAUCUUGUGACAGUGGGAGAACAUGAGACUUGGAGUCAGACUGGGAGCCAAGGAGAGAGGCCUCAGGAGAAACCAGUCCUGCAACCCCUUGAUCUCAGACACCUUGAUCAGAACCUCCAGACUGUGAGAUAACCAAUAUCCAUUGUUUAAGCCACCCAGCCUAUUGUGCUUUGUGAUGGCAGCCCCAGCAAACUCCUACAUCACCCUCACUUAAUUUAUCUGUUUUAGGCAGUAUUUAUUUCUUGCUCUGACAGUUGAGGAAUUAGCUUUCUCGUACCAUGCUAACUUCCAUUUUUUCUUCUCCCCUUAUCCUCAUAAUAUAGUUUUCCACAAUUUAUAGUUAAAUCAAUAGUUAGUGUUUACAUUAUUGAUUAGGUAAAUAAAUACUGUCCACUCAA